rnacentral:rRNA from 1 species
CGGAGGAUCCAAGCGUUAUCCGGAUUUACUGGGCGUAAAGAGUUGCGUAGGUGGCGAAGUAAGUUGGUAGUGAAAGCGUUCGGCUCAACCGGAUAAACAUUACCAAAACUGCUUUAGCUAGAGGAUGAGAGAGGUUAUUGGAAUUCCCUGUGUAGGAGUGAAAUCCGUAGAUAUAGGGAGGAACACCGAUGGCGUAGGCAGAUAACUGGCUCAUUCCUGACACUAAGGCACGAAAGCGUGGGGAGCAAACGGGAUUAGAUACCCCGGUAGUCCACGCCGUAAACAAUGGAUGCUAGCUGUUAUAGGUAUCGACCCCUGUAGUAGCGAAGCUAACGCGUUAAGCAUCCCGCCUGUGGAGUACGAGCGCAAGCUUA